UACAGAGGUCGCAAGCGUUGUUCGGAUUCAUUGGGCGUAAAGGGCGCGUAGGCGGCGGGGUAAGUCGGGUGUGAAAUCUCAGAGCUCAACUCUGAAAUGGCACUUGAUACUGCUCUGCUAGAGGACUGGAGAGGAGACUGGAAUUUACGGUGUAGCGGUGAAAUGCGUAGAUAUCGUAAGGAAGACCAGUGGCGAAGGCGGGUCUCUGGACAGUUCCUGACGCUGAGGCACGAAGGUCAGGGGAGCAAACGGG
rnacentral:rRNA from 1 species